AUGUGUUGGAGUUUUCCCCGGUGGACGAGAGGGUCGCUUCCCUGCGCCUUCGGGUGGGGGAUAGGUCACUCACCGUCAUUUGUGCUUACGGGCCGAAUGGCAGUGUGGAGUACCCGGCCUUCUUGGGGGUCCCUGGAGGGAGUGUUGGAAAGCGCUCCAACUGGGGACCCCAUCGUUCUUCUGGGAGAUUUCAAUGCCCACGUAGGUAACGACAGUGAUACCUGGAGAGGCGUGAUUGGGAGGAACGGCCUCCCUGAUCUGAACCCGAAUGGUGUUAUGUUAUUGGACUUCUGUGCUAGGCACAGUUUGGCCAUAACUAACACCAUGUUCGAACAUAAGGGUGUCCAUCGGUGCACGUGGCACCAGGACACCCUAGGCCGGAGGUCGAUGAUAGACUUUGUAGUCGUUUCACCUGACCUUCGGCCAUAUGUUUUGGACACUCGGGUGAAGAGAGGGGCUGAGCUGUCAACUGAUCACCACCUGGUGGUGAGUAGGAUCCGCUGGCAGAGAAGGAGGCUGGAACGACUUGGCAGGCCCAAACGUAUUGUGAGGGUCUGUUGGGAACGCCUGGCUGAACCCUCUGUCAGACGGACCUUUAACUCACACCUCCGGGAGAGCUUCGACCAGAUUCCGAGGGAGGUGGGAGACAUAGAGUCCGAGUGGACCAUGUUCUCCGUCUCCAUUGUCAACGCGGCCGUUCGGAGCUGUGGACGCAGGGUCUCCGGUGCCUGUCGUGGUGGUAAUCCCCGAACCCGGUGGUGGACGCCGGAGGUAAGGGACGCCAUCAAGCUGAAGAAGGAGUCCUACCAGGUAUGGUUGACCUGUGGGACUCCUGAGGCAGCUGAUGGGUACCGGCAGGCCAAGCGUGCUGCAGCCCGUGCCGUUGCGGAGGCAAAAACUCGGGCUUGGGAGGAGUUCGGGGAGGCCAUGGAGGAGGACUAUCGCUCGGCCUCAAAGAGAUUCUGGCAAACCGUCCGGCGCCUCAGGAGGGGGAAGCAGUUCUUUAACCAACUCUGUUUUCAGUGGAGGUGGGGAGCUGUUGACCUCAACUGGGGAUGUUAUCGGACGGUGGAAGGAGUACUUUGA
rnacentral:lncRNA from 1 species